rnacentral:rRNA from 1 species
AUUGAACGCUGGCGGCAGGCCUAACACAUGCAAGUCGAACGAGUGGCGGACGGGUGAGUAAUGCCUGGGAAACUGCCCGAUGGAGGGGGAUAACUACUGGAAACGGUAGCUAAUACCGCAAACCAUUGGAGGGGCCCAGAUGGGAGUAGCUAGUAGGGGGGGUAACGGCUCACCCAGGCGACGAUGCCUAGCUGGUCUGAGAGGAUGACCAGCCACAAGGGAACGGAGACACUGUCCAGACUCCUACGGGAGGCAGCAGUGGGGAAUAUUGCACAAUGGGCGCAAGCCUGAUACAGCCAUGCCGCGUGUAUGAAGAAGGCCUUCGGGUUGUAAAGUACUUUCAGCGAGGAGGCGUUACUCGCAGAAGAAGCACCGGCUAACUCCGUGCCAGCAGCCGCGGUAAUAC